rnacentral:rRNA from 1 species
CUGGGCUCGAAAUGCANUGGACCGGGGUAGAAAUAUCCCUUUCUCGCAAGAGACUGCUGCAUAGGUGCUGCAUGGCUGUCGUCAGCUCGUGUCCUGAGAUGUUGGGUUAAGUCCCGCAACGAGCGCAACCCUUAUCCCUAGUUGCCAUCGGGUCAAGCCGGGCACUCUAGUGAAACCGCCCCGGAUAACGGGGAGGAAGGUGGGGAUGACGUCAAGUCCUCAUGGCCUUUAUGUCCAGGGCUACACACGUGCUACAAUGGUCGGUACAAACCGUCGCAAAGCCGCAAGGUGGAGCUAAUCGGAAAAAGCCGGCCUCAGUUCGGAUUGGAGUCUGCAACUCGACUCCAUGAAGCUGGAAUCGCUAGUAAUCGCAGAUCAGAACGCUGCGGUGAAUACGUUCCC